UAAUAAUGUCUCUUUAGAAAUGGCAACAUUUGGCAUACAGUAAGAUUUAAAAAUGAUCAACAAUUCGCUAACAACGAUUGGCCAUAAUGGAAGCAAAUGCUUCGAAGAGGUCCUUAAAGCUAGAGCUCUAAUAAAUAAAAACAGGUCCUUUUUUAAUACUCCUUCAGGAUCAGACGUUAUAAGCCGUUUGACAAGGUCAAUCAGAGGUGGAAGACUAGGCAGGAAAAAAUCACGUGGAGAAGAUAACAUUAAUAUUGUGAUCCGACAUAUGUUGCUCUGCCUUGCACCUAGUUGAGUAUCCCGAGAUGUAAAUAAAGUAGUAACGCCUAAAUCAGAUUUUGUUAUGAGAUCAUUUAAUCUAGAUAUCUCUUGGUACAAAGCUGUGUAUAUUACUGGAGAAAGCUUUCUUAAUUGAUCAAUAUCGAACCUGAACAGUGAAUUAUCAUUAAAAAUUUCCCAAAAAUCGCGCCUCCAUGAUUUACUCAAAAACGGAUGUUUACUCAACACGAGCAAUAAGUCCAAAUGAUAAGUGGUGAGUGAUUCCGGAAAUGUCCUAGCCUUUACUAAAGGAGUUAUAAAUACAUUGACGAUUGAUGUAGCCCAAGCAACUAGUUUAUCUUCUUCCUUAGAAAGCUCGGUUAUUUUUGGAACAAACUCAGAACAGAAAAAGUCAAGCAAAGAGGGAUCUAAGUAUUUUACGAAUAAAUACACGGAGCUAGUUUUCUUUUGUGUUUUGGCAACCUCAAACGUGUCUGCAGCAGCUUUAUGAUACGCCAGAAAAUCUACAGUUAGGUUUGGAUCACUUGAUUUUCCUGCAUGAAAUAAGACUGAGGACAAUGUUUUCCCCAUCAAAUCAAUAAAGUCUUUUUGCUGGCGAGA